rnacentral:rRNA from 1 species
GACGAACGCUGGCGGCGUGCUUAACACAUGCAAGUCGAACGGAAAGGCCCUGCUUUUGUGGGGUGCUCGAGUGGCGAACGGGUGAGUAACACGUGAGUAACCUGCCCUUGACUUUGGGAUAACUUCAGGAAACUGGGGCUAAUACCGGAUAGGAGCUCCUGCUGCAUGGUGGGGGUUGGAAAGUUUCGGCGGUUGGGGAUGGACUCGCGGCUUAUCAGCUUGUUGGUGGGGUAGUGGCUUACCAGGCUUUGACGGGUAGCCGGCCUGAGAGGGUGACCGGGCACAUUGGGACUGAGAUACGGCCCAGACUCCUACGGGAGGCAGCAGUGGGGAAUAUUGCACAAUGGGCGGAAGCCUGAUGCAGCAACGCCGCGUGCGGGAUGACGGCCUUCGGGUUGUAAACCGCUUUCGCCUGUGACGAAGCGUGAGUGACGGUAAUGGGUAAAGAAGCACCGGCUAACUACGUG